AGGUUGUUAAAGAGAGGGAUAUCUCUUGAAGAAGUGUAAAGGGUGCUUGGAGCCAAAAGUCCAAGAGGGUGAAUUGAAACCAUAAUCCAAUUGUAAAGAGAUUGGAAGCUUAGUUGAAGCUUCAAGAUAGUGGAACCCUCACUCGGUUAGGAGGUUGAGGAGAGUGGACGUAGGCAAGGAAGUGCCGAACCACUAUAAACACUCGUGUUUGCACUCUCUCUUCCCUGACUCUUUUAAAUUAUAUGCAAUUGUGUUUA
rnacentral:lncRNA from 1 species